GAAGAUUAAUACCGCAUAACAUCAUUUGAGGGCAUCCGAAGAUGAUCAAAGCUGAGGCGGUGGAAGAUGGGCAUGCGUGCCAUUAGUUAGUUGGUAGGGUAACGGCCUACCAAGACUUCGAUGGCUAGGGGUUCUGAGAGGAUGGUCCCCCACACUGGUACUGAGACACGGACCAGACUCCUACGGGAGGCAGCAGUAGGGAAUAUUGGGCAAUGGCCGAGAGGCUGACCCAGCCAUGCCGCGUGCAGGAAGAAGGCCUUCUGGGUUGUAAACUGCUUUUAUCUAGGAAGAAAACGCCCAUGCGUGGGUAACUGACGGUACUAGAUGAAUAAGCACCGGCUAACUCCGUGCCAGCAGCCGCGGUAAUACGGAGGGUGCAAGCGUUGUCCGGAUUUAUUGGGUUUAAAGGGUGCGUAGGCGGCCCUGUAAGUCAGCGGUGAAAUCCCAGGGCUCAACCC
rnacentral:rRNA from 2 species